GUAGUUCCGAGUUCAAAUAUAGGUACGAGUGUAUGUUUUUUCCUCGAUUUUCUUUAGAAGAAGGAGGAACUGUGGCUACCCCGGGCGCUGUGGUUACUGCUGGCAUAUCUUGCCAUUCAACUGAUGCUCUCGAACAGUGAAAUCAUUUCCGGACCGUUCCUACUAGAUGCAUCCCGAAAUUUUCCACCUUUUCUUCGGAGGCGGUCGAUACUUUAACUGGAGUCCGGGCGGUCGCUGUGCCAUUGUUAACGGUGACAUGGACUAGGAAACGUUUAAACGACCAGAGGAUUCGCUUUCAGACUCUUCCUCGUUGUCCGUGUCAGCAAUCGACGACUCCCUCCUUGAAUGGGCUAUCCUCCUAAUCCGUUUACUUUGUCUGACUUAACCAUAAUUCAUCUACUCACAUCGAAAUACACUGAUUUUCCGGAUCUAA